rnacentral:rRNA from 1 species
AUUGAACGCUGGCGGCAGGCCUAACACAUGCAAGUCGCGCGAGCGGCGGACGGGUGAGUAAUGUAUGGGGACUGCCCGAUAGAGGGGGAUAACUACUGGAGACGGUGGCUAAUAACGCAUACUAUCGGAUAACCCAUAUGGGAUUAGCUAGUAGGUGGGGUAAAGGCUCACCUAGGCGGCGAUCGCUAGCUGGUCUGCGAGGAUGAUAAGCCACACUGGGACGUAGACACGGCCCAGACUCCUACGGAGUCAGCAGUGGGGAGUAUUGCACAAUGGGCGCAAGCCUGAAGCAGCCAUGCCGCGUGUAGGAAGAAGGCCUUAGGGUUGUAAAGUACUUUCAGCGGGGAGGCGUUACCCGCAGAAGAAGCACCGGCUAACUCCGUGCCAGCAGCCGCGGUAAUUC